rnacentral:rRNA from 1 species
UGAGGAAUAUUGCCCAAUGGGGGAAACCCUGAGGCAGCAACGCCGCGUGAACGAAGACGGCCUUCGGGUUGUAAAGUUCUUUUCUGGGGGACGAUAAUGACGGUACCCCAGGAAUAAGUUCCGGCUAACUACGUGCCAGCAGCCGCGGUAAAACGUAGGGGACAAGCGUUAUCCGGAUUUACUGGGCGUAAAGCGCACGUAGGCGGUAGGGUAAGUUGGCCGUGAAAGCUCCCGGCUUAACUGGGAGAGGUCGGACAAAACUGCCGGACUUGAGGCUGAGAGAGGAGAGCGGAAUUCCCGGUGUAGUGGGGGAAUGCGUAGAUAGCGGGAGGAACACCAGUGGCGAGGGCGGCUCUCUGGCUCAGAACUGACGCUGAGGUGCGAAAGCGUGGGGAGCGAACGG